GGAGAAAAGGGAACACUUAUAAACUGUUGAUGGGAAUGUAAAUUAGUUCAGCCACUGUGGAAAACAGUUUGGAGAUUACUCAGAGAACUCAAAAGGCACCUAACAUUCAACCCAGCAAUCUCAUUACUGAGUAUAUAUCCAAAAGAAAAGAUGCUGCUAUCACAGAUUAUAACAGACUGGCUAAAUUAUAGAAAUAGAAAUGUAUUUGGCUUAUGGUUCUGGAGGCUAGGAAGUGCAAGAGCAUGGCAUUGGCAUCUGGUGAGGGCCUUUAUGCUGCAACAUCUUGUCACAGAAGUUGGAAUGGCAAGACAGGGCAAUGCAACAACACUUGUGAAAGCAAGACUAAUUUUAUUCAGGACUAUCGCAAUAGGGGAAAAGAGACCUCAGUAUUGAACUGGGCUUCAUUGUGAAUACAAGUGGGACAAGUGGGAAUUAUAGCCAAGGAACAUGGUGGUUUGCAGAUGAAAAAUUACUAAAAGGAGAUAUUGUCUUAGGCAAUUCUGGUUGAAAUGGCCUAACAGGAUUCCUGCUGAAUGCAGGCCAGGUUGAUGAGCUAUCAAGAGUAGGGAGUGAGAAAUUGUGAUUGGUUAUUGAGGGUAAUUAGGUAUCAAGGAUGGGGGAUUCUUACUAAAGAGAUUUAGUAGAAGUCUUGUUAAAACUACAUUUUACAAGGAAGUACACAGAUGGGCCUAGGAGAAGGUUCAGUAGCCUGACUUAAAGUUUGGUCAAACAAAGAAUCUUUGCAUGGAUAUAAAAAAAAAAUUACAGUAAGUGAAACAGAUAAAAAUGUCUGCAUUGACAUAGCAUAAAUUCUGAUGGGGGAGAAAUUAUAGUGUACAUGCCCAUCCCCAGUCCUCUGCUUUGGCAUAAAACUCAGUGGAAUUACGAAGGUUGUAAACAAGGAAGCCUUAGGAUCAAAUACUAUACCUUCAGAUAUAGUAUCUUUGAUAUGGUCAUUGACAAAUCCUGUUCUUGUGGUAGAUGAGGCAGUUUUUCCAAGUUGCACUGUGGGAAGCAGAUGUAGUUGAAUGGGAGCCUAAGCCAGAGAGAAGGAACAUUAUAGGCACAACAUAGUGACUCUGCCUAACUUAGUAGUUUGUGGGCACAUUUUAAAAAAUAAAAGCUUUGAGGUAAAAGAUGAGGAUCUGUUCCUAUCACAUGGAAGACUAUGGAAACAAUAGACAUUUGGGAUAUAUUUUCUGCCUUGAUUGAUAGCAUCACCAUCUACUUUGUCCCUCAAGCAGAAAAAUAUUAAUUUCUUGUUUGUCUCUUCUCUCCCUCUAACCCUCUAUAUCCAAUAUGACUACCUGAGAUCUCCAUCUCCUCCAUUUCUCUUCUAUCUAUCUUUUAUUUCAUCUAUACAUCCAGUAUAGAUUAUGAUGAUUAAUGAGAUUAUUAUGAUCUCUUGCCUUGACUCCUCAGUAGCUAUUUGGUAGUUUCAUUUGUUAUCCAGAAAUCUCAGUACCACCUUUGAUUCAUGAUUUAUACUGUUUUCUGACUUAUCUUUUAAAAAUAAAAAUCUGAUUAUGUCACACUUCUGCUUAGCAUUGUUCCAGAUUUAAACUGUAUAGAUUUGCUUACAAAAUACAUCAGCAUGUAACUCUGUUAUACAUUUCAACACUUUAUUCUGAGCCCUCCCCAUGGCAUGCUCUUUUCUACUUGUGGCUGGCUUUCAUAUUUCCUAAACACCCUCUUUGUCUACAUAGGCUUUUUUUUUUUUUUUUUUUUUAACCAUUUGAAGUUUCUACCCCAUUGUUCUAUCCAACUGCAACUCAUGAUUCAACAUUUUCCUUCACAUAACUUCUCCUCUGAUACCUUCUUUAAAAUCUUUACAUCUCAAAGUCAAAGAAGGGACUCUUUCUCCUUCCACCAUGACAGUUUUCUUACAUAUCUGUAUUAUAGCAUUGAUCACACUGACUUGCAGUUAUUUCUUGCUAAGCCUAUCUCCACUACUAUUCCUGCUAUUAAGUAAUAUGAAAAGGCUUAGGGAAUGCUUCAAAAUGUUGAUAUCUUCCUCUUAUUCUCUCAGGAAGAAAUGUUUCUCCUUGUGCUUUUCUCAUUUUCUGCCCAUGCAUUCUCAAUCUUGAGUGUUUGGAAGUCCCAGCUUCUCUUGGAAGCAAAACAAGAUCAAACCCAGCAGGAAUUUCCUGGUUGGUGAACACAUUGAUGUAUUCAGAGGGCGGCAUACCCAGAGAGCACAUGGAAAUUCAGUUCCCCCAGCAUCUUCCAUAACUUGUCCUGUGUAUCUCUCCCAUCUGGCUGUUCCUGAGUUUUAUCUUUACAAUACACCAAUAAGGAAAGUUUCUCCACUUAAAGUUGACAGCAAAUUGAGAAGGCUAUGAAAGCAAGUCUGCUUUGGUCAAGAUGGUCACUCUGGGUUUCUUGUGUCAUGAAGACAACUUCUGCUUCCAGUCAAGAUGGAGUAACAGAAACCUGAUUUACCCCUGUCUUAGUCUGUUUGUGCUACUACAACAAAAUAUCUGAGACUGGGUAAUUUACAAAGAGCAGGAAUUUAUUUCUUAUGGUUUGGAAGGCUUGGAAGUCCAAGAUCAAGUCACUGACAUCUGGUGUCUGAUGAGGGCCUUCUUGCUGCAUCCUCGCAUGGCAGAAGUGCAGAAGAGCAAUUGAACAACCUUGCCGAAUACUACAUGAAGGCUCUUUAAAAAGGGCCCAGUUCCAUUAACAAGAGAGCAGCUCUCAUAGUCUAAUCACCUCAUAAAGACUCUGCCUCUAUCAUAUUGGCAAAACUUGGACUACGGAGGGGACACACUCAAAACAUAACACCCUCCCACAUUAAACAAAAAACUGAACCAAAUAUAGGAAAAAAUGACAUUCAAGACAAUGACGCUGGGCAACUAAGGGCUGCGAUCCCUGAGAGACGAGAAACAAAUGAGAAUUUUUUGUUUGUUUUUUGUGGGAACAUUGAUCUGAAAAACUUAGCUCACCAUUACAGAGAAAUACAAAUCUAGCCACAACCACCCCAACUUUUUGAGAAGAAAAUGGAACCUACGUAAACCCACAAGAGCCUAAGAAAAAUAUUAAAAGGUGAAAAAAGAACUUCACUCUCCUGGAGGCCACAUGGCGGGCCAUUCAGAAUAUAUAGUAUGGCACUGUGGAGAGCAGAGGACACAAAACCAACAGUGUCACAAAGGUGGGCCCAGGAGGGUAUGUAUGAAAUGAUGACAAAGAAAGUGAGAGGCUCCUGUGAAUUUCUGAGUGCAAGAGAAUUUUAAGUAACGAAAAUUUUAUGUAAGAGCUACUAUGUACUAGCAUUCCAUUAAAUGUUUGGGACAAUCAAGAUUAAAUCUUUUUUAAAAAAAGAGGGAUCACAUCCAGCUGCACCCCUGCCCCCAAAUUCCCAGGUGGCUGAGGCCUUAUGCAAUGCCCCACCAUGUGCCUUUGGGUCAUGCAGGCCCAGAACUGAUUUGCUUGGAAAAAUGUCAUCACUAUCUUGUCUUCCUCAUUCAAUUCUUCUGACCUUGUGCUAAGGAUGGCAACAGAAAUCCCAACCGUGCCCACAUCUAUACCUUUGUUUUGGGAGAUUUGUGUUAAUUCAGUUAUCACUGUACUAUGAACUCUGUCUCAGAGAUCACUAGUCUUUAAAGAUUCCUUGUACAAAGGACAUUAUUUAUUGUUGUGCUUGAGAUCUCUGUAAAUUUGGUUGUCAGCUAUAUAGUGUUUUGAGGUUCUUUAACAUAGGAGAAAUGUAUAAUGCUCUAAUUUAUCAUCACCCUUACUGAUAGCUAAGUAGAUGCUAUGUUGUCAUGUUGAUAUAUUCAAAACAUUCAGAGUCAUGCAGACCUUUACACUACUCUUCAAAAUAGCUAUCAGAGCUUCUUGUAUUUGCCAGUGCUUUCACAGUGAUACAUAGAUAGCAGUGGAUAUUGAGGUUCAAAGAAGGACAGUUAAAGUGCCCUGAGACAUACUUUAUGUUUUUAUUAACACCUUAACUCACCCGUCUCACAUUUAUUUCAGGUCCCAUACUAUAUUAUUGUGAAUGUUAUUUCUAUGGCUCAAUAUAUUAUAUUCACGCACAGACACACACACAGAGGGUUGGUGCAUAUAUUUCCAUUGUCCUCCUGAAGAGCCUCAGUUUAAUGCAUAUUAUUUCACACUUAAAACAUUUAACUUCACUAAAUUGAAAACAGAAGAAGCAGGGGAGGGAACAGAAGGUGACAAAUGAAGAGGAGGAGGGAGAGUGGGAAGGCAAUGUGUAGCAGGAGGAGGCGAGGCAUAUGGGAAAGCAGGGAUAUGUCAAGUUCAUGGAAAAUAGCAAGCCAAUGUCUGAUUGACGACAUGCCUUUGUUGUGUUUCUCAUGGUGCUUCAACUUGAGGGAUGCUGUUAAGUGAGAAAGGCAACUGUCUCUCAGUAGCAAAGAGACCUAUAUCUACGUACAGUAGCCAUUGAAAUAAAAUUACUGACUUGUAAGUUCCUCCAGAAGACUGGAGUACCAUGCUGACUUUUUUUAAUGUUAUCCUUUCUAUUCACAUUUGGGAGAAAAUUCUGUCUUUUCUGUCCCAGGUUCUCUGAAGGUCAGAUUCAUUCACCUGUAGUUUCUAGAAGCUUCUUGAUUGUAAUCACUGUGGGCAUUGAUGAACAGCCAAAACAGCACCUUGCAAGGAUGAGGACAGAACUUUCAGGAGGCUAAAGUUAAGGAAUGAUCAACCCUAGCAGGAUCUUCACCUGGAACUGCUAGUUCCUCCGCAAUCGCCACUCUGCUGCUCCAUCUGUACCACUCUUCACUUACACAGGGCUUCUUAUGGCUCUAACAGGCUAAUUGACCCAAGUUUUAUCUGGUAUAGUAUGCACUAUUAUCCAAAUUCACCUAACCCAGGUAUGAAUAGGACUCUUUAAGUGACAAAAACACAACUUGAAAUGACUUGACUUAAAAAUGAAAUUCACCACUUAGAUGACCGAAAUAUCCGGGGGUAACUUGGCUUCAGGCAUGCAUAACUACACAGAGGUGCUCAAAUGGGGCAUCAAGACAAAAUGUUAGCUGGGUGGGAGGAAUAAGUUCAAUUGAUCUAUUGUACAGCAUGGUAACUACAGUUAAUAAUACUGUAUUACAUACUUCUAAAUCACCAAGAGAGUAGAUCUUAAGUGUUCUCACUACAAAAUAUGAUUAAGUAUGUGAAGUAACACAUAUUUCAAUUAGCUCGAUUUAGCCAUAAGAUAAUGUAUACAUAUUUUAAAACAUGUUAUGCAUCAUAAAUAUAUAACAUUUUCAUUUGUCAGUUUAAAAAAUAAAUGGAAAUGGGUCAUUAGAGGAUCAGUGUUGUCAUCUUUCCUCUGGAGUGAGCUUAUUAUCAAAUAGAAUUUUACAGAGACGAGGAUGGCCACUGCCACUUUAGUCUUGCAUUGAACAAGUUUAUCAACCACAGCUCAAGGACAGCAGUCCUUUCUUGAUAGUACAGAAAAAUUCCACUUGUAUAUAAACUCUUCCAAAAAAGAAUCUUUUUUUGUUUGUUUGUUUUGCUUCCAAAUAUAUUUGCAGCUGCUAGAACAGUCCCUAUUUGUGGUUGGUGUUCAAUAAAUUGAGUCUCAUUUACUUAGCUUGAGCUUGAACCAACUGCUGUGAACAGGAGGAUGGAAUGCUCCAAAUAGCUAGACUAGACCAUGUUUCUACUUACAGAGUUAAGAAGCAAAGGGGUUCGACACACCUGAACCACAUGAACUGAGAGUGGAGGGGAGAAAGAAAAGAGAGAAAUGGAAAGGAAGGAAAUAAGAAAGGAAGGAAGAAAAGAAAGAAAAAGAAAGAAAAUCCAAUAAAGAAACCUGUGCUAAUAUGCUAAUAGAUUUUUCCUUCCUUAUUUUGCCAGUGGUUUUCUGGGUAUGUAUAACAUGAACAGAUAAUACAUCUUAGUGUCAGGGUUGGAAUUUGAGUUGACUCUCUUACAAGCUAAUAAGUUAUCCUGUUAGUAUUUCAUGGACGCUGGCAGAAGACAUGAGACUCCUUUGUCAGAGACAAAGGACUUUAAUACUCAUGACACAGCAAGCAGCAUGACUAUCAGUAUGUUUGCAUCAGUUCUCCUUGCUUCAAGUUCCAUGUGCUAGGGGACAGAUGGAUGCCUCACAUGCAGUGGGUUCGCAUCGCAUCUGAGGAACAAUAACUUGGGCAAUUCAAUACUUUUAUAGCAAGUAGUAAGCAAGCCUGCCUUUUGUCUGGAGAGAGGUGUUACCUCAUUUCUCAAGGUUGCUCAGUGAAACACAGCCCUGAUAAAAGGCAGAGUGCAAGGAGCAGUCAUGGGCUUUCAUUCCUGGCACACCCAGCAGGAUGUAUAGAAGCAUGAGAGAUAUGUGAAAGACUGACUCUCAACACUUAGCUUGAAAAUAUUAUUUUAAUUCCAUUUCAUCCAGGUAAGCAGGUGAAAAGAAAAUUUUGGAGUUUGCAGGACUUUGUAACAUUUCUGAAGCCAUGUCACAUAAGCAAUUGCCUUCUUGUACCAGGUGCAUGUAUUAAAAUUUCAGAAAAAGUGUGCAUGGGACUGGGGACAGUGGGGUUUAUGGGAAAAAGGAGACAAUAUCUUUACCUUUUAUGAUUGCAGAAAAUAAUUUCUUUGGUAUGAAGAAUAUGAUAAAUGGGAUUAUUGAGCUUUCAGGGAGAAUACUUAGCUAUGCUUUCUUUUAAUACAUUUGAUUUCCAAUUACUGAGAAAUUGCUCAACAUGCCCUGUGAAGAGUCUUUAUGAAAAUGAAGGGGCCAAAAGGUCUUCGGUGGGCCUUGUUCUAAAUGUGGCCUCUCUGGUUGUUUGGUAGCUUAUCAAAAGCCACAUGAAUCCUCAGAAAUAGUGCUUGACUGUCAAAAGACAGCCCCCUUGUUUUAGCAUUGCAGAUUGAGCCACGCUUAUUAUUUUUCUUGACUUCUGGUGCACAGGCGGCAUGAUUACCAAGUGAUCUUGUGUAAACAAAAGGCUGUUCUGUGCGAAUAAAUGGAUUCCCACUGUUGCACAAGCCCCUAGGAGUCUGCAUUAAAAACAAGUUGAGAUGCAGAACAGAACAUAGCAUUUAUUUUAACAGCAGGCACUUAUCAUUGGUGACAUUACCUGAUACGGCUGAUAAUCUAAAGCAUUAUAACUUUUGAGCAAAAUUUGGUUCAUAAAGACAUACAAGGAGAUAAACCAUGGCUACUAAUAGAAAUUGCAAACAAUCAUUUGAAUAGAACAAUCUUAUCUACAUUCAUCAUCCAGCCAACUCUCUCCUCCCACUGAAAUGAGACAAGGUAAAUUCACAACUCCCAUUAAUGCAAAUAGCAGCUUCAGAAGUAAAUCCCUUGUUUCUCCACAGGAGAGGACGGCUGCCCCCUCUUGUUUCAAUAUAUCACAAACCUGUGUCAGUCUGAGUUAAUUGGUGGGAAUUUGGAAUACAAGCAAUUUGAAACUAAUCCUUUAAAAUGGUGGCCAGUACGGUGGUUGGUGACAGCAGCUACUGGCUAAAAAGCAAUACCAUUUCUCCUAGGAGUGUUAAUUCUGAUCGAUUGAUGCUAAGUCUUCACUGUUCCUGGGCCAGGCUGAUUUGUUUGUGCCCAUUCCUUCUUCUGACACUAGCCUGACAGGACACACCUGGGUGAAGCUGGAAGGAAGGUUGCGGGCCAGGCUAUCACAUGAGUUUUAUUGUUUUAUAAUAAAAUGCACCUCGACGACAUGAAAAGUAAAUGUAGCCACUCCUCUACUUUGUGAUGUUGGCCAAGUAGCUUAAGACCUUGCACCCCAAUUUCAUCAUUAUAAAAUUAUCUUUUCUAAUAUUCCGUUCACAGUGUUUUUCCUGAAAGCUAAAUGAGAUAUUGUCAUUACAACAAUAAGGAGUAGAAUUAAUAAGCAUGUAGGGGCUUCUAUUCAAUUUUAUUGAGAGACAAUUGUUAGGAAAAAGCUGAACCUCCAGGAACUUGAUGUCUUCUAACAAGUUCAAGUUGCCUGAAGAAAAUUACUCUGCAUGAUAAUGGAGAGAGGGAUUUGGAUCCAGAGGAUUGAGGGAGGGGAAAGAAGUGUUGAAUCCAGUGGCAGGAAAAUGGUAAGAGAUGGGGACCUCUAAGUUGACGGAGACUUAGGGAAAGGGAAAUGGCUGAAAGAGAUUAUCAUGUGAGGCAUCGGUGCAGGUGACAGACGCACUAAAAUCUACACUGUUCACAAGCAUUUGCAAAAGUGAGUGGUCUGGAGAACACAAAGCCUUGAUGCUGGGUAUUGCAAUUAGUCUGGUUCAAGAGGAUACAAGAUUCUAAUUGUUACAAGAUGUUUACAUUGAAAUUUUUGGCUGUAGCGCCCAGAGAGAAAAAACGUAGAGAAUUCCUAGUGAGAUGCCAGACAAAAUGCAGACGUUCAAAGGGCAUGAUUGCAUGUAGGAAGGCUCUAAGCUUGUGAGAAGGAAGUGGAAGGAGGAAGUAAAGCAAAGAAAGAGGACAAGGAUGUGGAAGAUUCCUUUUGUGGAGAGGAUCUUUUAGGACAAAGUUGUGCUGCGAGCCCUUUCCUAUCUUAUUACUUCUAAGGAGUACUAGAGAUGGUAGUGGUUCCCUCAGCUUGAGGCCUGGUGAGGAGGCGGCACCACAAAACCAGCCAGAACCUGACAUGCAUUCUUUAUGUCAUGGUUGUGACUGAUUGGGGCUGGUGUCAUGGUUGGUAAAAUAAUUUACUGAAACAGCAGUGAGUUAAAGCAAGUUUAUUAGAGAGAAAAUACAUUUCAAGGGGGCAAAUGGGCAGCAUAGCAGAGAAGGAGGCGUCUGCCAGGAGGCAGGGGUUGGAGGGAAGUUUUAUAGGGUCAUGUUGGAGGGGCUACCUGCAGAGUGAGGUAUUUGGGAACAGGAUGUUGUGCAAGCAGAUUGUUUGUGGUUAACUGUCUCUCAGAACAAUUGUUCUUCCCCACCUGGGGCCCCUCCCUCAUUGUUGCUAACUUGUCAGGACUCCACACUUUACAGGUGGGGUAUAUUUUGCACUGGUGACUGGGUAGUUAGUGUGGUCUGUAGCAGAGUAGAGAGCGAGCUUGUGUUCACCGACAGCUGGAUUUGGGAAGUAAAAACAUCCCAAUGACAUUGGGGCAAGAAAUGUGUGAACAUUGUCCAGGGCCAAGGUCUGGAAGGAGAGACCGGGCCUGGAACUGUUUCAAAGGCUGCCCAAGAGAACCCUGAGGUGAUAACAACAAGAGGCAGCUAAAUGCAUAGGCAAACAGGAGUGAGUCCCUGGUGAAACCCCACCUUUGAGGCAAAAAUAGCCUGAAGGCUGAAAGACUGGACUGCUGGUUCCAGAUGAAACCCAUGACCCAGAGUGAGAACUUCUGUUCCUGUCUGACUGCCCUUUCCUGACUGAUUCUUUCUGAAUACUGCCUUUUAACCAAUCAAAUGUUGCCUUUUCCAAUACCUGCCCCUUCCCUAUUCUGAGCCUAUAAAAGCCCUGAACUCAGCCAUAGUAGGGGGACUUUCCUGCCUUUGGGUAGGAGGACCAUACCUGAGUCCCCUCUCUGCUGAAAGCUGUUUAAUCACUCCGUAAAACUCCCUGCCUUGCUCACUCUCUGAUCGUCAGUACAUCCUCAUUCUUCUUG